GGGGGAAUAUUGCACAAUGGGCGCAAGCCUGAUGCAGCCAUGCCGCGUGUAUGAAGAAGGCCUUCGGGUUGUAAAGUACUUUCAGCAGUGAGGAAGGUGGGUAUGGUUAAUAGCAUAUUCAUUUGACGUUAGCUGCAGAAGAAGCACCGGCUAACUCCGUGCCAGCAGCCGCGGUAAUACGGAGGGUGCGAGCGUUAAUCGGAAUUACUGGGCGUAAAGCGCAUGCAGGUGGUUUGUUAAGUCAGAUGUGAAAGACCCGGGGCUCAACCUCGGAAUUGCAUUUGAAACUGGCAAACUAGAGUACUGUAGAGGGGGGUAGGAAUUUCAGGUGUAGCGGUGAAAUGCGUAGAGAUCUGAAGGAAUACCGGUGGCGAAGGCGGCCCCCUCGGACAGAUACUGACACUCAGAUGCGAAAGCGUGGGGAGCAAACAGGAUUAGAUACCCUGGUAG
rnacentral:rRNA from 1 species